ACUUCUUUGAUGUGGAGCAGUUAUUCCAAGCACAGCAAAGGGUUUGUGAAGACAAAUCUUUCAGGAAAGCACUGAGCCUCAGAAGGCACGCACUUGAACUGAAGCCCUUGUCUCAUGGAGCUGAAGUACUUGUCUUGGGACCACAACCACCAACCUGGGAGAGUGCACCCAACAGCAAAGCAUUACAAGACUUAAACCACAGACAAGCUCUAGGUGCUGGAUAAGCUGGAAAAAUCUCAGGAGCUUACAUAUCAGAACUCUGAUACAUUGUUAGUAUUGAAAAAUAUCAAAAUAAAGUCCUACUUCUUAUAUUCAAGAAAGGAUAUCAAAGAGAUAUUAAUUCGUUUUUUAAAUGACAUCUCACAUUGAAGAGCUAUAUUUUUAUUUGACCAAAUUAUGUUUUAUCCCUAUUUUGUU
ensembl:lincRNA Gm12603 predicted gene 12603